AAACAUAAUAAAAAUAAAAUAAAAUAACAAUAAAAGUCGGCUUAAAGAAAUAGAACAAAAGAACUGAAGAGAAUCUGUAGCUUUGAUCUUGUGGAACUUCAAUUGAAGGCUCCUCCUUGAUACUGAUGUCCUCCUCCUCUAGACAGCUGUGAGAAAGUGAUUAUACAGCUCUGGGAUUUCCUCUCUCUCCUCUUCUUUUUCUGUUAUCUGCAGCCUCUAUUUAUAUUAAAUGGCCUAGGAUUAGAUUUUCAGAGUCCCUAAGGCAUUAAAAGUAUGUUUUAAGUGUAAAAGAAUGGAGCUGAAAUCAAAUUAGGAAGCUGACUGCUGCACGAUACAUGGCCCAGGGCCGUGUAACUUACUG
rnacentral:misc_RNA from 1 species